AUAUUCCGACAGGGGAGCGCCACAGCGCUGAGAGUGCGGCAGCCAGAUCACAUUGGUGGGCCGCAGACCCUCUGAACCUCGCCCAGGUCAUUCUGGGUAGGAAGUUCGGUCAUCACUCUUG
rnacentral:ncRNA from 1 species